rnacentral:rRNA from 1 species
AUUGAACGCUGGCGGCAGGCCUAACACAUGCAAGUCGAGCGGAUGAAGGGAGCUUGCUCCUGGAUUCAGCGGCGGACGGGUGAGUAAUGCCUAGGAAUCUGCCUGGUAGUGGGGGAUAACGUCCGGAAACGGGCGCUAAUACCGCAUACGUCCUGAGGGAGAAAGUGGGGGAUCUUCGGACCUCACGCUAUCAGAUGAGCCUAGGUCGGAUUAGCUAGUUGGUGGGGUAAAGGCCUACCAAGGCGACGAUCCGUAACUGGUCUGAGAGGAUGAUCAGUCACACUGGAACUGAGACACGGUCCAGACUCCUACGGGAGGCAGCAGUGGGGAAUAUUGGACAAUGGGCGAAAGCCUGAUCCAGCCAUGCCGCGUGUGUGAAGAAGGUCUUCGGAUUGUAAAGCGCUUUAAGUUGGGAGGAAGGGCAGUAAGUUAAUACCUUGCUGUUUUGACGGUACCAACAGAAUAAGCACCGGCUAACUUCGUG